UACGUAGGGUGCAAGCGUUGUCCGGAAUUAUUGGGCGUAAAGAGCUCGUAGGCGGCUUGUCGCGUCGUCUGUGAAAUCCCGCGGCUCAACUGCGGGCUGGCAGUCGAUACGGGCAGGCUGGAGUUCGGUAGGGGAGACUGGAAUUCCUGGUGUAGCGGUGAAAUGCGCAGAUAUCAGGAGGAACACCGGUGGCGAAGGCGGGUCUCUGGGCCGAUACUGACGCUGAGGAGCGAAAGCGUGGGGAGCGAACAGG
rnacentral:rRNA from 1 species